rnacentral:rRNA from 1 species
CAAGCAAAGUGUAACUUAAGUUUGCACCCCCGAAACUAAGUGAGCUACUUUAAAACAGCCAUAAGGGCCAACUCGUCUCUGUCGCAAAAGAGUGAGAAGAUUUUUAAGUAGAAGUGACAAGCCUACCGAACUUAGAGAUAGCUGGUUAUUUGGGAAAAGAAUAUAAGUUCUGCCUUAAGUUUUUAAUAACACCCAAUCUCCAAGUAGCUUAAGAGUUAUUCAAAUAAGGUACAGCCUAUUUGAAACAGGAUACAACCUAAAACAUAGGGUAAUAUAAAUUCACCAUAUAAUUAAGUUGGCCUAAAGGCAGCCACCUUUUAAAAAGCGUCAAAGCUUAGUUUUAUAAUUAUAAUAAUAACAAUAAAAACACUAAACCCAUCUCCAGUACCAAAUUACUUUAUAAUACUAUAAAAAAUAUAAUGCUAAAACUAGUAAUAAGAAAAUGAUUUUCUCCUAAAUACAAGUGUAACGCAGAAUAAACUAACCACUGCUAAUUACUGUCCUUAGUUUAAUAGUAGUAACAGCACUAGAAAACUCUACUACACUUAACAUUAAUCUAACACAAGAGUAUUACAGGAAAGAUU